CUGAAGAAGCUUCUUGGAUGGAAGCAAAAUGUCUUCAAAGAAAAACAAGAAAGUCCAGUUGCCUCCUGAAAAAGCAUCUUUGAAACAACCAUGAGCUGGAUGACUGAGAAUCUCCAUAGACAUGAAUGUACAAGUGUACAUGAAGGUGAUGCACAGUAUUUGUCUGAUAUAAAACAGAACGAUACAAACAGUGAUCGUCAGGACAGGCCACAGAAAUGCAACACCCAUGCUUCAUGAACUAUGAAGGUUUCCUGUUGGCUGCUGGAUGCAAUUCAAGGAGCCGGAUGUUAUUUUUAAGAUCCCAUGUAGCGCAUAAGGCCUGACUAUUUCAGGGACUGUCUGCUUCCCAUGGUUUCUGUCUACCUGGAAGAUCUGGCAGAGUCAGCUACCAUCAGUUACGCAGUGUCCUCUACUAAGACCCGGGAGCUGAGCCUUCUUUAUUAUAUCUGCCCUCUGGAACAGGAUUCUCUUGGAGAUUCACAUGAUCCCAUCAUAGAGGCCUUUAAAAACUUGGCUAUUUCCCCAGGCACUCCUAUGUGACAACUCCCCUGAAUAGAGGAGGAGGCCAUCCUAAGGCACUCUGUGGAAAGCCCUCUCUAAUUGGGAGCCAGCCCCAGGCAGGAGGAGAUGCUGGAGACAGCAACCUAUGGAGCUCAGAAAAUAAAGAAAAUGGCCACCAGAAGAAGAAAGGAGCACAAGCAGCAAGUGGCAAUUUAAAAACAUAAAGGGAGAAUGACAGUUGUAAAUGAGAUUAUAAAGAAUGUGAAAACAAAAGCAAAACAGUCUGAAGAAC